CCAUCUUUACCCACACACACAGCAGCGAUAACUGUUUACAACCGGACAUUUUAUUGAAGUUUUAAGACUUAUUUGUGAAAAUGGUUAAACGAUGCGGAUGGGGAAUAUGUUAUGCGGAUGAAAGGUAUCCGGAGGGACAAAAUGGAGGCCGAUUUAAACGAUUUCCGACCUAUAAUCCGACUUUGAGAAGUGCAAAUGCUGGAUUAAAGCCUGUGGACGGCCACACGAGAAACUGAAUUUUAACAGGAUAAACCAGCACGAAGAUGUCUGCUCGAAGCACUUUCAUGGAUGAAAUGGACCAUCUAAAGAGUAUCCUGACCCAUUAUCAGCUGAUGGCUGGAGAAUAAAAUCUUCAAGAAAACUCCCCACAAAGCGGUCACUUGGAAAGGAAACUUAUGGCAGCAUUUAUACACAAAAUGCACAAGUAGAAAAGCUGGUCCAGGAUCCUGCAGACACUGUACCAGAAGUAGAAACACAGACCGAAUGUCCAUGGACAUCACCUUUGGAUAUGUUUGCUCAGAAUGCUUCCCUAAAAGAAUAGUUGUCACAAAAAGAAGUCCAAGUUGAAGAAUUACAGUUUGCACUUUAACCCUUUACUUCAUGUAAACCUAAGCCAUUUCAGGCUGCCAGUUCAUGGCUUAUCAGUUCAUAUCAGUACCCCUACUUCAUAGGAGAUUAUUGAUAUUAUUGGAAUUUUAACCCUAAUGUAUUACAAACCUAUUUUCUUAGUAUUUCUUUUGGUUUAAUCAAUAAGUCAUCAAUGUAAAGUUUAUAGAGAAUUAAAUUUCCAAUCCAGUCAUAUAAAUUUUAUUUUGUUAUCUAAAUUAUUUCCGCAUGAUAUUCAUAAACAAACAGAAAAAUAUGUCAAAUUUGAUGAAAAUUAAUUUUUAUUACACUUUUAUUUAUCAAACAUAACACGAAAUAUUAUAUAAACAACAUAUUUUUAUAAUUCAUUUAAUGCAACCUGAAUUGAAACAAAGAUGGACAGAAUUAAAAAAUAGUUCACAACAAAGAAGCACGGUAUAUUUAUAUAUAUGAUACAGAAGAAAAAAAAAGUUGAUCAACAGUCACAGUACUUAUAACUUUCGGUUAUUUAACACUACAAUGAACAAAUAAAGUUAUUAUUCAACUACUACAUGAGGCCUGCAUGCUAUUGUUUACUAAAUUUAUAUCGUUUAUUGCAUGUCCAUGUAUUGUCAUUUGGGUUUGAUUUUAAAAAUCCUCAUUGCUCGUAUCCUUGUGUGCGUGACGCCGAGGUCUGAAUUCUCGACGUCGUACUCAAUGUCUCAAACUCAUUUUAAUUGAAGCCAGAAUGUUCCGAUUCAUCAGACAAACACUGAAAUAUAAAUGACAUUAUUCAGGAAUGUUGUUUUAAACUGAAGUUAACAAGGGCAGAAAUUAGCUCUUCAUUGCAUUCUUGUGUAUUCGAAAACACGUGUUUCAACAGCUGAUCGAUGUUAAAUUGGGUCAUGUCAAAGUUUAACAAUAGGGAUAGUCAUUAUUUUAUAACACAUUUGUACUUACUUUCAAU